UCCGGGGUAGCUCAGUUGGCAGCAGCGACGGAUUGUUAAUCCGUAGGUCGUGGGUUCGAGCCCCACCCCCGGAGCCA
rnacentral:tRNA from 2 species